AAGAAAUCCACAAGUACUCACCAGCCUCCUGGUCUGCAGAGAAGACAGAAUCAAUAUGAGCACAGCAGGAAAAAUGGAGUAUCUUUCUAUUGCCCAGGUUGGAGUGCAAUGGUGAUCUCGGCUCACUGCAACCUCUGCCUCCCGGGUUCAAGUGAUUCUCCUGCCUCAGCCUCACAAGUAGCUGAGUUUACAGGUAAUCAAAUGCAAAGCAGCUGUGCUAUGGGAGUUAAAGAAACCCUUUUCCAUUGAGGAGGUAGAGGUUGCACCUCCUAAGGCUCAUGAAGUUCGCAUUAAGAUGGUGGCUGCAGGAAUCUGUCGUUCAGAUGAGCAUGUGGUUAGUGGCAACCUGGUGACCCCCCUUCCUGUGAUUUUAGGCCAUGAGGCAGCCGGCAUCGUGGAAAGUGUUGGAGAAGGGGUGACUACAGUCAAACCAGGUGAUAAAGUCAUCCCGCUCUUUACUCCUCAGUGUGGAAAAUGCAGAAUUUGUAAAAACCCAGAAAGCAACUACUGCUUGAAAAAUGAUCUAGGCAAUCCUCGGGGGACCCUGCAGGAUGGCACCAGGAGGUUCACCUGCAGCGGGAAGCCCAUCCACCACUUCGUCGGCGUCAGCACCUUCUCCCAGUACACAGUGGUGGAUGAGAAUGCAGUGGCCAAAAUUGAUGCAGCCUCGCCCCUGGAGAAAGUCUGCCUCAUUGGCUGUGGAUUUUCGACUGGUUAUGGGUCUGCAGUCAAAGUUGCCAAGGUCACCCCAGGGUCUACCUGUGCUGUGUUUGGCCUGGGAGGGGUCGGCCUAUCUGUUGUUAUGGGCUGUAAAGCAGCUGGAGCAGCCAGAAUCAUUGCUGUGGACAUCAACAAGGACAAAUUUGCAAAGG
rnacentral:lncRNA from 1 species